rnacentral:tRNA from 1 species
GCUGUGGCUCAGUGAUAAAGCAUUUGCUUUGCAUGCAGGAAGUUCCAGGUUCAAUCCCCGGUUAAGAGGAACA